GUGGAAAGUGAAGGUGGCUGUAGUCCCAAAUGUAACAGGUACAUUCUGGCAGUGAUGCCUGUAGUGGAGCUGCAAUAUUAAAUCCCAAUAUCUCCGCUGGUAGAAUAAAAUAAUGCAAGAAAAGCGCUGAAUGAAGGCAAUAUCUCAAAUCCCGCAGUAACCGGACGAAACACAGUGCUGGGAGUCAACCGAGGUUUUUAUUCACAGGUCCCAGUAUUUAUGUGGUUCCCCAUGCAAAGGGGUUUCCUUAAUCACUUUACAAGGGUUAUACAGUAGGGGACUACAUGUAGAACUGAACAUACAGGACAUUUUUCCCACCAUGCACUGCUGUACGAGAGGGGUACUCCCAUAAGAAUAUCCUGUUAAGUGGGUUAUCCCUCUGUACAGCAGAACCGGG